rnacentral:rRNA from 1 species
GGAUCAUUAGGUUGGUCGUGCCUCUGGUAUGUACUGAUCUCGGUGGUUCCUACUUCUUGAAGAACCGUAAUGCCAUUAAUUUGGUGUUGCGGGGAAACAGGACUGUUACUUUGAAAAAAUUAGAGUGUUUAAAGCAGGCAAUCGCUUGAAUACAUUAGCAUGGAAUAAUGAAAUAGGACGUUCGAUCCUAUUUUGUUGGUUUCUAGGAUUGACGUA